rnacentral:rRNA from 1 species
AUGGCGAGCCUCAGCGUGCCCCCGGUGCUCACGUCCCCGCGCCACGACGCCAUCGCACUCCACAGGGCCUUCAAAGGUUUCGGGUGCGACAGCACGACGGUGAUCAACAUCCUGGCGCACCGGGACGCGGUGCAGCGCGCGCUCAUCAUGCAGGAGUACCGGGCCAUGUACCGGCAGGACCUCUACCACCGGCUGUCCACCGAGCUCAGCGGGAACCACAAGAAGGCGAUGCUGCUGUGGGUGCUGGACCCCGUGGGCCGCGACGCGACGAUACUGAACCAGUCCCUCAACGGCGACAUCACCGACCUGCGAGCCGCCACGGAGGUGAUCUGCUCCCGGACGCCGUCGCAGCUGCAGAUCAUGAAGCAGGCCUACCGCGCCCGCUUCGGCUGCUACCUCGAGCAGGACAUCACCGAGCGCACCUACGGCGACCACCAGAAGCUUCUGCUGGCGUACCUGGGGAUCCCGCGGUACGAGGGCCCGGAGGUGGACCCGGCGGCGGCGGCGCGCGACGCAAGGGAGCUGUACCGCGCCGGCGAGAGGCGGCUGGGCACCGACGAGCGCGCCUUCAUCCGCGUCUUCACCGAGCGCAGCUGGGCGCACCUCGCCGCCGUCGCCGGCGCCUACCACCACCUGUACGCGCGCUCUUUGGAAAAGGCCGUGAAGAGCGAGACGUCGGGGACUUUCGAGUUGGGGCUGCUGACGAUCCUCCGGUGCGCCGAGAGCCCGGCGAGGUACUUCGCCAAGGCGCUGCACAAGGCGAUGAAGGGGCUGGGCACCAGCGACACGACGCUGAUACGGGUGGUGGUCACCAGGGCGGAGGUGGACAUGCAGUACAUCAAGGCCGAGUACCACAAGAAGUACAAGCGCUCGCUCGCCGACGCCAUCCACUCCGAGACCUCCGGCAACUACCGCACCUUCCUCCUCUCCCUCGUCGGCCGCGACCGCUAA